UGAACAUCUGUAUGGACUCUGAUAAAACCACUUCCUCAGGCAGAGAAUUCCACAUCCUGAUUGUUCUUACAGUAAAAAAACCUUUCCUUUGCCUUAGACGAAAUCUUCUUUCUUCCAGUCUAAACUCAUGACCUCGUGUCCUAUGUAAAGUCCGGUUUGUGAAUAGAUUUCCACACAAUGGUUUGUAUUGGCCCCGAAUAUAUUUGUAUAAUGUUAUCAUAUCCCCUCACAGGCGACGUUUUUCUAAACUAAAUAGGUUUAAAUUUGUUAACCUUUCUUCAUAGCAGAUAUGUU